GACGAACGCUGGCGGCGUGCUUAACACAUGCAAGUCGAACGGAAAGGCCCUGCUUUUGUGGGGUGCUCGAGUGGCGAACGGGUGAGUAACACGUGAGUAACCUGCCCUUGACUUUGGGAUAACUUCAGGAAACUGGGGCUAAUACCGGAUAGGAGCUCCUGCUGCAUGGUGGGGGUUGGAAAGUUUCGGCGGUUGGGGAUGGACUCGCGGCUUAUCAGCUUGUUGGUGGGGUAGCGGCUUACCAAGGCUUUGACGGGUAGCCGGCCUGAGAGGGUGACCGGCCACAUUGGGCCUGAGAUACGGCCCAGACUCCUACGGGAGGCAGCAGUGGGGAAUAUUGCACAAUGGGCGGAAGCCUGAUGCAGCAACGCCGCGUUCGGGAUGACGGCCUUCGGGUUGUAAACCGCUUUCGCCUGUGGCGAAGCGUGAGUGACGGUAAUGGGUAAAGAAGCACCGGCUAACUACGUG
rnacentral:rRNA from 1 species